UAUAGGCCUACUUAUGCCCAUGUGUUUGAAUGUUGCUGGAUAGUGGCUGCUACAAUUGAGGGAGAGAGUGCUGGUCCUACAAGAUGACAGUGACAAUAAUGAUUUUGAAACUUGUAGCCUACCCCUAGGCUAGCCAUUUAUUUCAUAUUGCGGGCACUUUUUUUUUUUUUUUAUGUAUUGGGAGUUGGGGGCCUGUGCCCCAGCAAAGCUCUAGAUCUAGAAUCGCCCCUGGUGUAAUUAUUAUAAAUGUAUU